rnacentral:lncRNA from 1 species
CUUCUUCAACACAAUCGAAAGCCCAAUUCGUCAAAUUCUCAAUUCCUCUGCGAACAUAAAUGCCUCAAGCUAAUUAACAGUGGCGGCAAGUAGAUGAGAGCCUCCGUCCCUCUGUCAACUCUAUUACAUGCCCAGAUGAAAUCAUCUACGACUCCUGCAGCUUUCCCAAUCUUCCUCCAAAGUCCUCAGCCUCUCCGCCGGCGCCGUCCACAAGGCUCUCUUUCCCGGCCAGGUCGUCGUCGCUCACAUCACGGUCGUCGAGCUUUUGGGCUUCGAUCUGUACAACUAGCUAUGAUAAAGUGUUUUAUUUCGCGCGGAGACGCAGAGAGGAGGGUCGCGUACUUGCGUCGUCUUUAGAUCCGGCUGGACUUUUUUAUAUCCCACCUUUCUAACAGGUUUUGAUAUCCUGGUCUGACAAGACAUAAUAUCCUGUCCUAGAACAAACUGAACUGCCAAACGCUGGAAUAGAUAUAUUUUUCUCCUAUCCAGUUACUUAACCGGGCAAACAAACACCGCCAAUAAGUAUUAUAUUUUGCCUAUAUAAUUUGAUGAUUGCAUCCGGAGAUUGAUCUGUGCAUUCAAAUUCUGGUUAUCCUUUUGAAACUCAAUCAUCAAUGGUUCCUUUUCCUUUUUUUUUCUUUUCUUUUACCAUUAGGCUUCUAAUAAUUAGACUUUCAUUCUUUGGAGAGUUCGCUAGAUACUUUGUGUUCGUAUGAAGAAUCAGUUUAAUGGGAUUGAUUUGAAGACAUUUUUGGUCACCAGAGAGCAGACACUAGAGUGUCAGUUAGCCUAAAUGGAUAUAUGGUAGAACAGGGAUCAUUUGAACCACUUUUGAAACUGAUGCAAGAUGGUUAGACAGCGUUAAGAAAGUUGAGGUAUCUCUUUUGAUCAAUAACAACAGAAGAUCACAUCAUUCACAUGUUAUGCUAUAGCUGUUAAGGCUAACAAACUAAGAAUCAAGGCAGGUUGACCACUGUUUGCGAUCAAGAGGUUUGAUCUCUUCAAUUUGAAUCUUGAUUUGUAUUUUUCCUUUUGUUUCCAUAGACCUUUGGAAUACAAUCACAGUACACUCACAUGAUAUGAUCUCAUAUCAUAUACCUGUCAUCCUCUAUUAAGGUGCAGAUCCAACAGAAGAUGGAUAUGAUUAACAAGAUUGAAAAUUAGAAGAGUCUUUCUUCAUUUAGAUUUGCUGGAUUCUUCUUGUUUUUAUUUUUAUUUUUAUUUUUAUUUUUAUAGUUCUAUGGGCUUAAAAUGGUCUGUAUAAUAUCAUUUGACCUUCCCAACAAUUCUUGUGAGAUCAAUGUAUUCUCCUUUAUUUUUUACUUAACAACAUUUUCACCUUUUUUCUCUCUCCUUUUUUUCUGCGGUUUUCUUCCGGUUUUAUAAGGGACUGUUUCCAAUGCAUGGAAGGCAAGGAUACAAUUCUGCCAAUUUUUUAUCGUGUGGAUCCCUGUGAUGUAUGAUAUCAGAAGAAUAGUUAUGAAGUGGCGCUUAAGUUGCAUAAGAGCAAGGCAAGACAUGGCAUGGAGAAGGUGAACCCGUGGAGAGCUGAUUUAACAAAAAUGAGAAAUCUCUCUGCUACUGAGAUUGCUGUAUGGAUUUGUAAACUACGUACUACUGUACUAGUAUCAUUUUUACCUCUCCGAAUCACCCUGCAUAUUGUGUGACAAUAUCAGUGCCUCACCUCUUGCUUCAAAAUGGUCCAGCAGCUGUAGCUGUUAACUGUCAGAAGAUGCUGCAGGAUACUGGUGACAGAGGAGCUCUAGAACUGUCGUAACUUUAUAUAUAUUCUAGAUUACCCAUUCAGCUCAAAGUUAGGACAUAUAUAUGCUUAUAGGUCAGGAAAUAUUCUUGUAAAUAAAUUCAGUCUUAGGUGUAAGAGAUGAGUUAGUAAAAUCCAAAAUUUUCAGAGCUUCAAAUUCUCUUUGUUCAUCAAGCAAAUCAUAUCAGAGGGGGGUGUGUUUAUUUGUGUGAUAAUGGGUACGAAAACUAGUUAUUUGGGCUUUUGUGGAUCAAACAUAUAUGAGAAGCCAGGCCCAAACAACUACAUGGGUCGGGCCCGGAGUCUUCUUCAUCCAUUGCCGAAAUGCGGGAACUAUAGAAGUGGCCGCUAGCUCUUGACGCUCCGGUUUCCGCGCGUGGAGAGUACACGCCUGUCAGCUCAAAACUAUCAUCGUCUCCAUUCUCGGAUGAAAAUCAGGAUUGAGUUGCCUGCGUUCUUGUUAAGGUACAAGUGACCUCACUUUGUUUACCAUUCUUGUUCCUUAAUUUACUGUGUUUCUGCAUGUGUGUGUAUAUGAUCAAUUUAUGGGCUCUGUAUUUGAUUUGAGUUAGUUUGAUUGGAGAUCAGUUACUGGUUGCUUAGUUUGUGUUGGAUUUUCUAUCCGACUACAAUUGAUUGGUUGAUACUAGUUUCAUGUACAUCUCAAUGCUGGGUCGUUUUGUGUUACUCUGAUUUUCGAAACAAACAGAAAAACAUCUCAAUGUGCAAUCAGAGAUGGCCGUUUAAUUACAUAUGAUUAUCUUAUUGGCCGGCAGCAAGUUGAGAUAUUAUAACAUCUGGGUUUGGUGUUUUUUCAAGCAAUAGGUUUUAAGUACUUGACAUUUUUGUAUCAUGACAUUUUCACCAUGUGAAACCGAUAAUUAAAAUCACCUUAUUCAGAUAACUAACUCAUUUAAAAUACUUCUGUGGCCAAGUUGUUAGUUAUCUAUGUCAUGGUUGUUAACAACUUUCUUUUGGGUUAAAUAAUUUUCACAAGCUUUUGCCUUUCGUGGGUUCCAAUGAGGCAAUGACCUGCAAUAGGAGACAUUAUUGGAUCUCUUGUUGUUUCCAGUCACAGUCUCACAUUCAGUCUUCUUCGUCUCCUCCCUUCAUUGCUUCUGUCUGGAAAUCAGUUGCUGGUUUUCAAUGGCCUCCUCCUCUUCAUCAUCGUCAACUCGCAGCUGGAAGUAUGAUGUCUUUUUGAGUUUCAGGGGUCCUGACACUCGCAAAGGGAUUACAGCCCAAAUACGCGAUCGACUUCGUAGAAGUGGCAUUAUAACGUUCAUGGAUGAACCAGAUCUUAGAGUAGGGGAUACCAUUUCGCCCACUCUCAUAAAGGCAAUUAAAGAGUCGAGGUUUGCAAUCGUAAUUCUCUCGCAAAAUUAUGCUUCUUCUACUUGGUGUUUGGAGGAACUUAGAGAGAUUUGUCUGUCCAUGGAAGACAACAGAAUUUUGCCACUUUUUUUUGAAGUUGAUCCUACUGAUGUUCGACAUCAGAAGAAGAGUUUCGAAGAAGCUUUCUCUAAGCAUGAAACCUCUGGCCGACAUGAAUCAGACAAGUUGAAUCAAUGGAGGGCUGCCAUAAGCAAAGUGGCCAAUAUCUCAGGGUGGAACACAAAUGAUUAUAAGUAAGCAUUGUGCCUUCAAUUUCAAUUCUAUUAAUUUUAUCAAUUAAUAUCUGUGAUUCAAUUUUUAUUCUUCCCACUCUUUUAAAACAAUUGAGCUCCCAAGACAGGACAAAACACACGAAACACAAUUAAAAUGACAUUUUUAUUUUCAUUAUUAUUUUUCUUUGUUAUCGGUCAUAAUGUAAACAACAACAACAAAAAUCAAAAUUAUGCAGAAUACGUAAAGUUGAUGAUUGUUUCAUUUUCUUUACUUUAGUAAUGCAAGUUACAAACAACAUUAUGGACACUCCUCCUAGAAUGUUGCUUUUCUGUUUAAAUCUAUAAUUUUAAUAGUAAUUCUUUUUUUCUUUUUCUUUUUUUGAUGCAACAGAACAUCUGGUUUACAAUCGUGAAGUCUCUAGCUCUGCUUCUGACUUCCAUUGCAAGAAGUAAUCUAUAUAUUUUACCUAACACUUAAGUUUUAAUCCUUAUAACUCUUUAAUUCUUCCUUGUAGGACUCACGAAGAACUUGUUGACAAGAUUGUGGAAUCUCUCCGCAGUGAAGUACCACCAGAUGCAAUUGAAUUCACAGAUGAUUUCCAAGCAUUUGGAGCAACAAAAGAAGCGACAGACAAGGUUAUGAAGGCGCUAACAGAUGACAAGAUUACUGCCGUUGGUGUCUAUGGCAUGGGCGGCGUUGGAAAGACAAGCAUGGUGAGACAUGUAGCUGCACAAGCCUGCAGAAAUGGUACUUUUAACCACUGGAUUAUGGCUGUCGUAUCCCAAAACCUUGACUUGGAAAAAGUUCAAGGUACAUUGGCAGAUUUGUUGGGCUUUAAAUUCGUCGAGGAGACAGAAGCUGGAAGAGCAAAUAAGUUGCAUAAGGAGAUCAUGAGAAAAGAAAAACUCCUGAUAAUUGUGGACGAUGUUUGGGAGAGAACAGAGUUGUCAAAGAUAGGGAUUCCCACCUACAAUGAGCUUCAAAAGUGCAAGUCCAAAGUGCUACUCACCACCAGGAGAUUGAAUGUCUGUAAUGCCAUGAAGUGCCAUGAAAAGAUCAGCCUCAAAGUUCUCUCAGAUCAAGAUUCUUGGACCUUGUUCGUGAGAAAUGCAGGAACAAUUUCUUUUGAGCCCACCUCAUUUGAGAAAGUGGCAAGGAGGGUAGCUUUAGAGUGUAAGGGUCUACCGAUUGCAUUGAUAGCUGUUGCAAGGGCACUCGGAGAUGAGGACCAGGAGGAAUGGGAGAAGGCAGCUAACAGCCUAGAGCAGUCGCAAUAUGUCAAUCCCAACCAUGAGGAAGAUGAGGAAAAUGCGUUCAGUUGUAUACGAUUAAGCUAUGAUUACUUGAAAAAUGACGACCACAAGUCAUGCUUCUUGCUCUGUUGCCUGUUCCCAGAAGACCAUGCCAUCUACAUAGAAGACUUGUUCCGGUACGCGAUCGGAAAAAGAUUGUUUCGAGAUGCGAAAACAAUGGAAGUAGCCAGAGGAAGAUUAGUUACAGUGGUCAAGUACCUGAAAAAUUCUAGCUUGCUUUUGGAUAGUGAGGAAAAAGGAUGUGUAAAGAUGCAUGAUGUCAUCCGGGAUACAGCCAUUCAAAUUGCCAAAUCUGAAGAUUGCCAUCGGUUUUUGGUGGAAGCUGGUCGUGGUUUAAAGGAUUGGGCUCCACGGGUAUUGCAUGAAGGCUGCACUGCAAUUUCACUGAUGAACAACAAAAUUCGCAAGCUACCUGAAGAAGAGUUGGUAUGUCCAAAUCUCCAGAUUUUAUUACUAAACGGGAAUGCUGUACUAAGUGAGAUCCCCGAAAAGUUCAUCCUGAAUCUGAAAGAGUUAAGGGUCUUGGAUCUUAGUUACACUGAUAUUUCUGUAUUACCCCAAUCAUUUAGUCUCCUCACCAACCUCCAAGCUUUGUAUUUAAAUGGUUGCGACAAAUUGAUUGACAUUUCUGUUGUGGGGAAACUUAAGAAGCUUGAAAUUCUUAGUAUCAGAGACUGUUCCAUGGGGAAAUUGUCAAGAGAAAUAGGACAUUUGACCAAUCUAAGGAUUUUGGACGUCAAUUCCUCUGCGAUACGAUUCAUAAUUAGAAGAGGACGGCUGAUGUGCACAUUUCCCUUUACAAUUCCAUCUAAAGUGAUACCAAAGUUGCAUGAAUUAGAAGAAUUAUACAUGGUGUACUGUGGCUUUGAGGAGAACGGGUGGUGUGUAGCUGAGGGACCAACAGAAACAACCAAUAUUAUUAGGUUUGAUGAGUUAGCUGGUUUAUCAAAUUUGAAAAUAUUGCAGGUUGGCUUAUCCGAUGAAAGUUUCAUCCCUAAAAAUGUUGAGGUCGCACCAGAUUGGGAUUACUUUUGUAUAACUAUCAACGGCAGAUACCCCAACUCUGUAUACGAACAAGGAGAUCAUAAUUCAAGAUCCUUGUUUCUUAAUGGAGCAACCAUCAGUACCUUGCCUGAUUGGUUUAUCAAAGCGGUGACAGAGAAAACAGAGAAGCUAGAGUACAACCGUUGCGGAGGGAUGAGUGACAUUGUUAUGGAAUAUGACCAUGGCAGGUUACAUAAACUCAAGCAUCUCACAGUUGCUGGGUGUGCUCGUGAUUCUUCUUAUGUGUACUUGAAAGAGUUGGUGAACACAACAAGACGAGUUGAAACCGGACCCGUGUUUGAGAAUUUGGAAGAGUUGCAUCUGAAAUUUCUGAAGCACCUGGAGGAGUUGUGUGUUGGUGAGUUACCACCUGGGUCUCUCUCAAAUCUCAAGGUGUUUCAUGUGUUUUCGUGUACGAUUUUGAGGAGUGUAUCAGAAUUUGUACAGAGACUACCAAAUCUGGAGAAACUAGAUUUAAACUAUAUGGUCAAAUUGGAAUAUGUGUUUAGAUACGAAGGGUUCGAGCCAGAACAAUCAAAACUGAGGGAGAUGCAUUUGUUGCGUCUAGAAGCACUAAGAAGCAUAUGUAAUGGUCCCGCUCCACAUGCAAUGUUCCAGAGUCUUAAAAUUUUGACCAUUGACCGUUGCCUGCUGCUGCAAAGUCUGUUCGCAUCUGAUGUAGCGGACUGUCUUGUUCAAUUGGAAGAACUUCUUGUAGUGGAUUGCCCUUUGUUGGAAAGAGUAAUGGAAGCAGUGACCAAGGCGAAGACGGUUCUACCAAAACUGAAGAACUUGGGUUUGAUGAAUCUUCCUAUGUUGUAUGGUCCAAUUGCUGCCGUUGAUAUUGAGUGUCCUUCAUUGGAACACUUGAUGGUGGAGGAUUGCCCCAAGCUUUUAUUUUCAACUUUUUCCGAUCUCUUCAAAGCCUUCAAAAGCAGGAACCAAUUUUCAUUUUCAGCCUCGGCGUGUCAGGUAUUGACGUAUUUACUUUGUUUGUUCUUUUCUUCUGUAUUUUGUAGGGCAGCAAUUGGGCAAAAACUGAUUUGAUUCAGUUUUUAUUCUUCCCACGACAAGACAGAACACCACGAAGCACAAUUAAAAUAACAUUUUUAUUUUCAAUCUUAUUUUUCUUUGUUAUCAGUCAUAAUGUGAACAACAACAACAAAAGUCAAAAUUAUGCAGAAUGCUUAAAGUUGAUGAUUGUUUUGUUUUCUUUACUCUAAUAAUGCAAGUUACAAACAACAUUAUGGACACUCUUAGAAUGUUACUUUUCUGUUUAAAUCUAUAAUUUUAAUAGUCUUUUUUAUUUUUUGUCCUAUUUUGAUGCAACAGAACAUCUAGGUUCCAAUUGCGAAAUCCCAAGUUCAGCUUCUGACUUCCAUUGCAGGAAGUAACCAAGUUCAACUCUAUUUCUUUGUCUAGGUAUGCAAUGUGAUCAACUGAAUUAUUUUCUUUUCAUUGAAUGGUAGAUUUCUUGUGAUGCCACAUAUAUAAACUAAAAAUGUUACUUUUUUCUAAGAUAAUGGAGUUCUCAUAAUUCAUUUGCUUUCCCAAUCUUCUGUGUAUUAGUGAUUCAGUGCAACAAACAAAUUUUAACUUCAGUUUUCUUUUCCGCUCCUAUAUUCUUAUUUUUCUUUUUAUAAUUCGUCGUGAUCAAUCAUUUCUUUUUUCUAAUUUUGAUAAGUAAUUGAUGAAAGAUAUUAAAUUUGUGAAAGAAAAACAAUGUCACACUGAAAACUUUGUACCAAUGAGGAUUGUUUUGUUUUCACUACUUGCUAAUACAAAUUACUGAUUUACUGGUAUAAGAAAAUGUCUGGUUUGAAACAAAUUUCAAUCAUGAUGAUUGCAUACAUCAUGUUUUAGUCAAUUCAUUCAGUCCUCAUAUAUGUUAAAAUAAUGACUUAUUUGACUUGAAGGUUGUAAAUGGACAAGUAUACUCUGCAUAUGAAGCAGAAAUUCGUGAUUUAUGAAUGGGUACACUAUUUAACACACAGUAGUACACACACACACACACAACAAAAAUGAUGAUGAUGAUAAAUUAAGUUACAACUCAUACCCCCAUUGCUCUCUUUCACUCUUUGUUAUUGAGUUUAUCUAGUGUAUAGAAAAUAGAGUUAACAAAAGACUAGCAUCUACGAAAUGAGAACCUAAAUAUUGUUACCAAAUUCGAGUUUCCUUUGAUGCAGCAUAUUAAGCCUAGAACAAUACACACACUAUGCAUCACAGUACGUACCACUCUCCAGCUCCAACAGAAAAUCUUCAGAAAGUAUUACCACUGAAACCGGCAAAAUAAGCUUACACAGAGUUUGCAAGAGCAGCCCUGCUAUUACAACACAAUACAGUAGUGGAAAUUACAGCUAACUAUACAUAUCCAAUCUAAAUUAAUUGAUUAACACUAUUGUGAGGUGUGAACUAGAAACUAACGGUCACAUUGCCGAAAAAAAUGAACCCUUCUGUGGAGGAUCACUCGCCGGUGUUGUUGGAUGGCUUCUGUUAAGAAUUUGGCACUAGCCGACCAUUGUACAUCUUCUCAAGUAGCUGCUUUGCAUCAGGCCUCCUGAGAAGAUCUUUGUUGUUUGGUACACCAGUCCCUAAACAUACGGGGCAAACGAGUUUCCCAAGACCUGACAACAAGAAGAACCGAUCACUCAUCAAAGAAAAUGAGUAUCCAUUGCAAUAGGAUACCACACAACAGAAUGUUGAUAUGGGAGGGAAAACAACGACUCCAAUUUCACAACUAUCUGCUAUGGUUUAUGACGAUUCUUGUUUUUUAUUUUUUAUUUACUUGAUUCAGUGUCUGAUGACUGCAAAUGCAACAAAACUGUGAUAGUGUAUCGAUGUUUAUUAAUAUGGAACAAAAACAGAAAUAUGAGUCUCAAUGGGAAUUCAUACCAUAACAAUUUGGACAUUCUGUAAACUCAUACACAUCUUUAGCUCGUUUUCUGUUGAGAGAUUUCCAUUUUCCCGUACCACCACACAUAUCACCUGAAUAAAAAGCAAAAGAACAACUCAGCGACAAGCGUAUAUCGUAUACCACAUGUAAACAGUACAUCUAAACUACAAGGGAAAAGAUCAACAGAAAACGAGGCAUAAUUAAAGGAGAAGAAGCACUGUGUGUCUCUCCUAACAAAGCCAAAGCAAAAACUUUGAGGCAUAAUUAAAGCAUCUCAAUUAUUUAUAUCUAACCAGGACAACUAUAUUUGAGAUGAAGAUAACGAACACCAGGAAACCUAUUACCAACAAAGAAAACAGGGACUCGUAUAUGAAAUGAUUAUGAGAAGUGAGCUGGUACAGUAUUUGUAUUCUGCAUUACGUUUCGUAUCAAACAGACAAUUACAAUGCAGCGUGCAAUUAUAGCCUAGUGUUCAUGAUCUUAGACACCUAAAGCAAGUAAAAUGCAGUUAGCACGGUGCUCGUGAUGCACAGUUCCAAGAGUGAUCCAUCAAUUGGAAGGUAUGUUAGAUUUGGUCACAGUAGGUAAACAGCAUACUAUACAGCAAAGAAAUCAUAACAUAUCAUAGUUCUAUAUAAGGACUCAUGAAGCAGAAAAUGCACAUGUUUUGAAGUUGGAUUUUCAGGAAAACCCUUAACAUAACUGCAAAUUCAAUUUGAAGUUUAUCUAUCUCUUAUAAGCUUCAAGUUUUAUCUGGAUGGAUAAUAACUCACCGGUUGAAGGCAGGGAUCAAAACUAGACCCAUGAGAUUCAAGGAAACCAUUAUGCACAAGUUAUUGAUACGCCUUCAUCGUAAAACUCUGAAUUGGAUUUACUACAUGAACCCCGAAGCUCCCCAUCCCUGUGUACUUGACACUUGCAAUACCAUAUUCAAACUCAAAGUUAAAAAGAAAGCUAUUGGAACAUGGCGUUAAGCCAGUGCCAGCCUCGCUGAGCCGUCUUAUUGUUGUAUUGGAUGGAAUAUAGUGCAACCACACAUUACCACACAACUUCCACCAAUGGUGGUCUUCUUCCAGCCCUUGAAUGAUGCACACACCAUUAAUGUAGAUUGUACGUAAUCUGAGAAAUGAAACCCUGUAGUAGCAUACAUCAGUCUGAUGAUGAACAUAGAAUGCCAGUCCUCCUUUGCUUUCCCAUAAUUUGAAAUUUCCAGGAAUGUCAAUUUUGAACUUGUAUACUUCGACUCCUUUCCCAUAGUAUAUACCCUUAGGCUGGGGCAACCUCUGAAAGCUCAUACGACAGGUGAACCAGUCUGGAAUUUCACUUGCUGCAGGAAAGCAAUCCUGGAAACUAGAUUGCCAGCAUGAAAGAAACAGAGACAGCAGAGCUGAGACCUCUGAAUUAUCCCCCGGUAAAGUAUUCUCUUUCUUCAUCUUUGCCAAGUAAUCAAUGGCCAGAUUGCGGCACAGCGUAUGCAAAGAUGCAACUCCAUCCAGGGGAUCAUUUUUGACUCUCUGCCUUCCACAAUGUUUGACAGACUUGAAAUUGUUCUCAACAAGACGCAACCCCUUGUGUCUAAGGACUCUAAGCCAUCUAUUUCUCACAGGAACUCUAAAAUUUCCACUAGAUUCCAGCACUCUGUCAAAUUGAUGAACUCUUGAGAAUCAUAGCGUAACUUUAUUGUCUUUAACUCACACUUGGUUGGAAAUGUAGCCAGAUUGUAACAAUUGGUCAAGGUGCUUCAGAUGUUGUAACUCAAGAAUGCUGCAGGGAACAGUUGUUACGCUACAGCAGUUUGUCACAACGUAGCUCUUCAAGAUUAAUGAGAAAUCUAAUUGAUGAAGGAAAUCCUUUGAUGCCAGUACGCCCUAGGUCCAGGCUUUUCAAGGAUCUCAUCUCUUCGACAAUUUCAAACUUCUGAAGUUUCUCACAGCCACUGAGGUUCAGGUUGACCAGAUUCUUAGCAUUUCCAACCUCAACUUCAACUAAAUUUGUACAAUGACUUAGAUUCAAGUCCACUAAAUUCGGGAACAUAGACAAGCCACUGAUCUUUCUUACACCAUAAGAAUUUGACAUGUCGAUAGAUUUCAAAUUCUGCAUAAUCUGCAUAUGUGAAAAUAUUAGAAAGAAAUUAUAAUGUCAUUUUAAUCAAACAGCAUUAGACCAUUAAUAGUAAAAAUUACCUUCGGUGCCUCCCCCAAAGGUGAUGUUUGGCGGCUAUGAUGCAUCCUUAGUACAACAAGUUUCUUGGGAUAAAAACUAGGCGGAAACGACAGUAAUGGACAAUAAUCCCAAACUAGGAGCCUCAAUUCGUUGGAGAGAUAAUUUAUAUGAUCUCCAGUGAAGGAGCCUCCAGUGUAAAAAUCACGAGGGCUUACAAAGAUUUGAAGAUUUUUCAUCUUUGAGAAGCUAUCAGUGUUCAGAUGUAUCUUUUCUCCCCUGCAAUUCAGGUCAUUGAGCAUGAUGCCUCGAACUUUAUCCGAUCCCUACAACCAAAAAACAAAAAUAUUGUUAAAAGCUCAAUGUGUCUCAUAGAAUUUCACAUAUAUUCUCAGUUCUGUAUUGUACAUAGAAGACGGUCUUCAACUAUUGAUAUGGGAUAUAUCACUUACUGUGUUUUCCAUAAAAACUCGGUAAACAUCCUCAUAUAGCCAUAAUCUGCUACGCUCUCCAGGCUCAGUAGGAGACUCUUGACAAACUAUUUCUUUCCCCAUUUUCUCUAGCAGAUCAUGCAUCAAAAUGCAAUUCUUUUCAUUGAUGCUUAUGAGGGCCUUUUCUGUGAGUGCUUCAAUACCAUAUUCAGGAUUGAGAUCGCAUCCUCUUAGAAUAUCUAUCACGUAGUUCUUAGCUUUUCCGUUAAAGAAACAUGCAAUGUGAAGAAAAAUCUCUUUUGUCAAACCAUCCAGUGCAUCAUAGCUUCUUCUGAGGAUUUCUUGAAUCUCUUUCUUUGGUUCUGUUGCAUAACCAUCUAAUGCAACUUUCCAUUGAUCUACAUUUCUACCACGGAGAUGUGAACCCAAAACUACCAAUGCUAAGGGAAGCCCUUGAGCAUAAAGAGUUAGAUUAUCAAUGAGUUCAACAUAGUCAUCCAUAUUUUGGUUUUUUUUAAAGGCAUAUAACUUGAAGAGCUCUAAAGCUUCAUGAUGACUCAACUUCUCCAUUUUGUAUAUAUAAUUGACAUCAUGAGCAGUAAGCUGACCCUUAUCUCUUGUUGUGAUGAUUAUUCUACUACCUGAACCAAACCAAUCAGACUUUCCGACUAAUUUAUCUAACUGGUUGAAAUCAUUCACAUCAUCAAGAAUUAAGAGAACCUUUUUAUGGCACAACCUUUCUUUUAUGAGAGUGAUCCCUUCAUCAACACUAGUAAUCCUUAAUUCUUUCUCCUUGAGAAACUUAGAAAGAAGAGAAAUUUGCAAUUCAACUAGGCCUCCAUAUCUGAUUGAUCUCUCUCUAACAUUUUCCAGAAAACAGCUACCUUCAAAGUUAUGAGCAAUUGAAUUAUACACACCUUUAGCAAUCGUUGUCUUUCCGAUUCCACCAAUUCCCCAUAUCCCCACCAUGCGGACAUCAUCUUCUCCAACACAUAGAAGCUUAAGCACAUCCUCCACACGAGGCUCUAUUCCAACAGGGUAUUUUGCCACGCUUAACUGAAGGCGAUCUAAUAGUUGUGCUGAUAUCCGUUCCACGAUUGUAUCGAUGAAUGUAGAUUCAUGACUGCCAAUGAGAAGCACUUGAUUAUUGGUUCAAAAAAGUAUAGCAGAUAUUAUGAGUUUAGCUUACAAAGAAGACUACAGCUACCAUGCAAGCAGAGCUGUUCUUGUACAAGUACCUUCCAUUAAUGAAAUGCAGGCCAGAGAGAUUUGAUGCUUUAGUAAGAGCUUCUCUCCAUCUCAUGACUUUCUCCGAGUUGUCUUUUAAUCUGCUUUCGUGGUGAGCUAGUGCUAGGCCAAAACCACCUCUUUGAUGUCGUACAUCCGAUGGAUCUACCUUGUAAAAAACAGGGUAAACCAGUUGUUGCUUUGAUUCUUUACAGUCAAGAAUGCUGACAAGUUCUUCCAAGCACCACCCAGAGGAAGCAUAAUUCUCCGAGAAGAUGACGAUAGAAAUUCUGGAUUCUUGAAUUGCUUUUUGAAGGGCAGGUGAUAUCUCAUCUCCUGUGCCAAGUCCUUCAUUGUCAAUGAAGGUUUUGAUUCCUUUUUGGUCCAAAUUUCUGCACAGAUGGCUUACAAUAUUGUUGCGUGUAUCCACACCUCUAAAACUGAGAAAGACAUCAUAUGUCCAUGAGUGAUGAUCAUGAAUGGGAGAAGAAGAAGAAGAGGAGGAACAGCAAGAUGCUCUGCCUUGUUUCUUGCCAAGAACUGAGCGGAGAUGGAAUCCAUAUUGUUUGAAAAAAUUAGCAUGCUGGGGAUACUUGAUAACCGAAGCUGAUUGAAUGAUGAGUUUGUUAAAUGAGGGGUUAUUGAAUCGGCUGUGAUUUGGUUUGAACUUAAAUUGAGAGGAUAUGAUCAAUGCUUGGGAGGACAACAUGAUCUAUCUUCGAUCGGGCUGAGAAGUUGACCAACUAUAUAGUUGAGGGUGCAUGUGAGUUGGGGGUGCAUGUAAUUGCCUAGUAAUACUAAUACCAAUAGAUCCUCUCACAUUUGACCAUUUCAACCAGUUGAAAGGCCCACUACUCUUUUUUGUUUUGUUUUUUUUAGUAUGAAAGGCCAACUAACCAACUAAUUAAUGAGGUUUUUACAAUUAUAUUAUUAUAAUUACCACUAGCAGACUCCUACCUAGUCUUUCUCAGGCACAAGCAAAACUAACAAGGAUCGAUACCCAUCAAAGAAAAUGAGUAUCCAUAGCAGAAGAAUACAACACAACAGAAUGUUGAUAUGGGAAGGGAAAAGCAAGGGCUCCAAAACUCCACAUUUAUAACAACUCAUACGUCUGACCAUCAUAAUUUCUGUAUUAUUUCCUCUAAGAGUUCACAUUUAUAACAACUCAUACGUCUGACUAUCAUACUUCCGUAUUAUUUUCUUUAAUCCUGACAGUUCAUGUAUGUACAAUGUAUGUGAAGAUACACUUCGUGUAUUAGAGAUGUUCUCUAUGGUUUAUGACGAGUCUAUUUUUUUAGUUUCUAAUGACGAAAGUUGCAACAAAACUGUAAUAGUGUGUCGAUGUUUUUUGCAGGAUAUAUGGAACACAAACAGAAAUAUGAGUAUCAAUGGGAACUCGUACCGUAACAAUUUGGACAUUCUGUAAACUCAUACACAUCUUUAGCUCGUUUUCUGUUGAGAGCUUUCUAUUUUCCCGUACCACCACACAUAUCACCUGAAUAAAAAGUAAAUGAACAACUCAGCAACAAGGGUAUACCGUAUACCACAUGUAAACAGUACAUCUAAACUGCAAGGGGAAAGGAUACCCAAAUAAUGUAUGCAUCAAGGUUUAGUUGAGUCAUACAGGAGAAGAAGCACUGUGUUUCUCCCCUAACAAGCCAAAGCACAAACUUUGAGGCAUAAUCUAUAGCAUCUCAAUUAGUUGAGUCUAACCAGAACAACUACUAUUUGAGAUGAAAAUAAGCAUUUAAGAACACCAGGAACCAAUUACCAACAAAGUUAAGAGGAACUCAUACAUAAAGUGAUUAUGGCCAAUGAAAAACUUAAGAGUUCGUUUUCUAGCUGAACCUUCAAACCAAUAUAAUCUAUACAUCAUUCUGAGAAGAAAAGAAAAAAAAAAUAAUAAUCUAUACAUAACUUAUCUGCACACGCAGAUAUUUGGCUAGAAAUACAAUACCACAGGAAUUAUAAAAUCGGGAUCAUUUCCAAGUUCCAACCAUGAAUAACAAAACGCAACAUCUAUACUUACAAAGCACAGCUCCACAAUUUUGGCAGACUGGUGGUCUGUGUUUUCCAUCCAGUGCAACUGCCUUUAGAGAGUUGCUUAUCAAACCACCAGCUAACAUAGACAAGUGAGACACAAUCGUCAAGAGAUUAAGACCUCAGAUCUUUAAUGUUAAAACAUAUCCAUGGUAAUUUACAGUAUUGUUUUUUUUUUCUAUAAAAACUUAAACGGUAUUUUUUUUCCCGACUAACGGUAUUGGUUUUGAAAGCCUCCAACACCAAUCAGACAAUUCAAACUAACAUUACAAUAUAUAUAAAUAUAUAAACAAUUAGGUUGAAAGGGCCACCAAGUUUCAAACCAGGAGAUAGUUUCUAUCGACUUAAAAAUCCUAUCUAACUGAAACAUUCCAUCAGAAGAUAUCAAAGCAAUGUUAAUGCCCAUAACACAGGAGAUUCAAUAGAAAGACUCUAUCUUGUCUUGAACGAAAUACUAUAUCCAUGAUUCAAGACACAGAGAUAAUGAACUUGAUCUACACAGCCCAUAAAACAGAAGAUAUUGAACAAAGCAAUAGUGUCAUUACCAACAUGCAUCAGGCUACAUGAAAGAAAUAACAAGCAUCAAGCCAACACAUACCCUUUCUCUCAUGCCAUUUUUUGUUAGAAACUAUAGUAAUCGCUUAUGAUCAAGAAGAUAGCUGACAGAAAAAAGAUCAAUACAUUCGAUGGUUUAGCCCGAAUCCCCAGGACUGCCACUCUCGUUGUCAAGAUUUGGAUCUUACAUGAAACCCAACUGACUUUGAGUUCACUGCCAAAUUUCACACAUGCAAAUGAUAGUUAAAACCAUUGCCUAAUCAACAAUAAAAUCUCUACAUAUGUUCUACUGUAUUCAUGCUUUUAUAGAUACAUACAACUAAAGAAACAGAAAAAACGAGAUGAGAGUAUUUGAAAGGAAAUGACCGGUUUCAGUUUCAGAGUGAGAAACAAGACUCACAGUGGGCUGGUGAAAAUUGCGGCAAGAGAUGAGAUGAAGAAGAAGAAGCCACACCACCUCUCUUUCUAAAUUAAGCGAAUUGGGCUUUUAGCAGGUUAGGCGGUUACAAUACACGUCAUGGCGGUCGGGCCGUGAUGGGCCUACACAGAUUGGGGAUCCACCUAACAAAGUCCAAAUUUCCGAAAAAAAAAGGAAACAAAUCAAUUUUAGUUGGGCUUUUAGCGGGCUUGGCGUAGAUAGUACAUGUCAUGGCGGUCGGGCCGUGGUGGGCCAACAUGGACAAGGGUCCAACAUUUUAAAUAAAAAAGAACGACGAGUCGUAGCUCGCCGUCUUCAACGACGGAUUGAGAGCAGUCCACGACGACCCAGCCGGGUACCAUCUUAAACUUGGUUGCCGAUUAAGCUGGGAAGUACUCUAAGCAUUUGGAUUAGUUACAACACAUACCCCUUUGCUCUCUUUCACUCUGUUAUAGAAACAGAGUUUACAAAAGACUGGCAUCUACGAAAUGAGAUCGUAGAUAUUGUUACCAAAUUCGAGUUUCAAUUGAUGCAGCCUAGAACAAUACAAACACCAUGCAUCGCAGUACGUACCACUCUCUAGCUCCAAAAGAAAAACUUUAGAAUUCAAAAAGGAUUAUCACUCAAACCGGAAAAAUUUACCAUAUUACUAAAGGAUGGCCAUAGUGUUUUUACUGUUCACUAAUGACAAUAAAAAGACGGUUAUGCCCUCCUUUGUACGGUGAAAUUACGGAUUUGCCUUUUUUUUUUUGUCGUGUCUCUUAAACUUUUCUUCUGAUCUCUCUCGAUCACUCUCACUCCAUAAAGUAUACACUGCGUCAAGGUGCAGACACUAAUUCUAGUAUGCUUACAGAAUUUGCAAUAAACAGUAGUGGAACUUACAGCUAGCUACUCAGCCUCGAGGGUCCCACCUUUAAGAGGGAGAAUAGCAAAGUCAACGAACUUGAAAUUUGUAUUUGCUUGGGCCCAAGAGGGAUAGGCAGAACCCGAUCACGUCAUGGCAGUUGCCAGGAAAGUGGGCCUACCGGGGCUGGAGGGUCUCACCUUUAAAAAUAGAAAUAAAAAAAUGUAAAAAUUAAAAAUAAAAAGAUGUUUGACCUCUCUCUCUCUCUCAGACCGGUUGUGUUUUCAGUUUCAUUUUUGUUCCAGUUUUUCGACCGCCAAGUUCUAUUGUUUGUUUCAAUUAUCAAAGGAGGCGCCUUUCUCGCCUUUCUCGCCUUUCAUAGAGUUGACUAGAACCAAAAUGUAAUGAAUUUUUGACUUUUUCUUCUUUACUGAGUCUGUUAAUGGAAUUGUUACUGGGUUCUCUCGGUUUUGUGAUAUUUUGAGCUGUGAGAUUGUUUGUAUGAACUUGGAUAGUUUAGUAUUGAGCUCCAUAGGAAUCAUUGAAAUAUGAUAGAGUUGACUCCGGUUGAGAUAGAUUGCUUGGUUUGAGCUGAAUUAUAGGCCAAAAAUUUGGAAUGUUUUUCUAAAUUUGAAGCAGAUGAAGUUUGUAUUAGUAAUUUAUAAUGUGUGGUUUGUAUUGGGUGCAUUUUGUAGAUGGCUUGAUGGGAUGAGAUUCUGUCGAGUUUUUUUUUUUUUGCUGAAACUAGGCUUUUACUGAUGUGCAUGACUAGUCACCUCACUCAGUUUUGUUAUUUUAUCAGUACAUCAUUAUCUCGGUGGGGAUUGCGAAAUGGUGGAGCACAUACCUGAAGAUGUGCUAGUGAAGAUCUUCCAGAGGUUGCCCGUCACAUCUGUUUCGAAGCGCUGGCGCUUCAUCAUUCUCCGAGACCCUCAUUUCGCCGCAGCCCAUUACCAAAUCGCUUCCCACAACAAAACGCUCAGUCACAGUGUCUGCUUCCGUUUCUACCGCGACAGUUACUACCCAUUCAGAUCUAAAUUGAAGUCGUCUUCUUCUCCGGUUGAAGAAACCUUUGCUGCCCGUUCAAGAAACCUCACAGCGUGGUUUACGUGUGCCGUUCUUGUCGUGGUAUGGCGUUUGCAGUUUUUCAUGGUAAGCAGAAGAUAGAGUGGUAUAUAUGGAACCCAUCAACUGGACUCUCCCAGAAACUACCUGAUCUUGGUGGUCCAAAUGAGUUUCUGAACUUUACUGGUUUCGGCUACGUCUCCGCCACCAACGACUGCAAGAUUCUCAUCGCCAACUCUAGCCUUAAGGAGGGAGAGCAAGCCAAGAUCCACAUCUUCUUGUCGCAAUCCAAAUCAUGGAGAAGGAUUCAAGAUUUUCCAUACUCGAACUUGUCAAUGACAAUGGCGGGGAUUCUUUGUCACGAGGCACUUCAUUGGCUGAGGUUCGAUGUUAUAGUUGCUUUUGAUUUAGCAAAUGAGGAGUUUCGGACAAUGCCACUGCCUGCCAUUAGGGAGGAGUAUGGAGGUGCCUAUUUCAGAAAUGUAGGGGACUUCUGAGGUUUUCUGUGUGUGAUUGGUCUGGCGAAUGUUACUACUAUGGAUUUGUGCGUGAUGAAUGAAUAUGAUAAGGGUAACUCCUGGACUAAGCUGUUUAACUUGAGGAUUGCCGAUCCUGAUGAGCAGAUACGUUAUAUCCAGCCAAUCUUGGUUACAGAAACUUGUACAUUUCUGGAGACACAAACUGCAUCAGGAAGCAGGCCGAAGCUGGUGAGGAGUUAUCAUAAGGAAGAGAAGAUUGAAGAGGUUCAUGUGAGGGCCGGAGUGAUUGGAUAUGAAGAGAGUCUACUUUGGCUUGAGUAAUUCGUUACUCUCUGCAUCCAAAUUCUGGUUAGUUGCUCCUCAUUUCCACUCUGUUCAAUGUAUUUUUGUUUCUUUUCUCAUUGCUACUUAUUUACUUGUUGAAUGUAUGUAACUUUUGAGUUUGUGACUUCAAAUAUGGAUAGAAAGUUACAAGUCCUUCAAAAUUUCUUGCAUUAGAAAGGUGUCCUGACAAAUGGCUUUUGUGCUUGCUUGAUAUUAUACCAUCUUACAGAUAAUAAGUAUUAACUUUGCCUAUAUAAUUUGAUGAUUGCACCCGGAGAUUGAUCUGUGCAUUCAGAUUCUGGUUAUCCUUUUGAAACUCAAACAUCAAUGGUUCCUUUUUUUUUUUUUGUAUAUUUUUUCUUUUACCAUUAGGCCUCUAAUAAUUAGACUUUCAUUAUUUGGAGAGAUCGCUAGAUACUUUGGGUUAGUAUGAGGAAUCAAUUAUUGGGAUUGAUUUGAAGACAUUUGUGGUCACCAUAGAGCAGACACUAAACUGUCAGUUAGCCUAAGCGGAUAUAUGGUAGAACAGGGAUCAUUUGAACCAAUUUUGAAACUGAUGAAAGAUGGUUAGACACACAUCAUUAAGAAAGUUGAGGUAUCUCUUCUGAUCAUUAGCAACAGAAGAUCACAUCAUCAUACGUUAUACUAUAGCUGUUCAGGCUGACAAACUAAUAGAAUCAAGGCAGGUUAACCACUGUUUGUGAUCAAGAGGUUUAAUCUCUUCAAUUUGAAUCUUGAUUUGUAUUUAAACUAUUUUGUCCUUUUGUUUCCAUAGAGCUUUAGAAUACAUCACAGUACACUCACAUGAUAUAUAUGAUCUCAUAUGAUAUACCAGUCAUCUUCUAUUGUGAUGCAGCUCCAACAGAAGAUGGAUAUGU